rnacentral:rRNA from 1 species
UGGGGAAUAUUGCACAAUGGGCGCAAGCCUGAUGCAGCCAUGCCGCGUGUGUGAAGAAGGCCUUCGGGUUGUAAAGCACUUUCUGCGGGGAGGAAGGCGAUAAGGCUAAUAACCUUGUCGAUUGACGUUACCCGCAGAAGAAGCACCGGCUAACUCCGUGCCAGCAGCCGCGGUAAUACGGAGGGUGCAAGCGUUAAUCGGAAUUACUGGGCGUAAAGCGCACGCAGGCGGUCUGUCAAGUCGGAUGUGAAAUCCCCGGGCUCAACCUGGGAACUGCAAUCGAAACUGGCAGGCUAGAGUCUUGUAGAGGGGGGUAGAAUUCCAGGUGUAGCGGUGAAAUGCGUAGAGAUCUGGAGGAAUACCGGUGGCGAAAGCGGCCCCCUGGACAAAGACUGACGCUCAGGUGCGAAAGCGUGGGGAGCAAACAGG